CACCAUCACCAUGCGCGAAUAUAAACAGUUAUGGCGCUCUCAUGAUGUCACAUUUGCGCACGCCAGCUUAGCUGCGUCUUCUGCAUAACGCCCUUAACUCUC